rnacentral:rRNA from 1 species
UACGUAGGGCGCAAGCGUUGUCCGGAAUUAUUGGGCGUAAAGAGCUCGUAGGUGGUUUGUCGCGUCUGUCGUGAAAGCCCAUGGCUUAACUGUGGGUCUGCGGUGGAUACGGGCAGGCUAGAGGCAGGUAGGGGGAGAACGGAAUUCCCGGUGUAGCGGUGGAAUGCGCAGAUAUCAGGAGGAACACCGGUGGCGAAGGCGGGUCUCUGGACAGUAACUGACGCUGAGGCACGAAGGCCAGGGGAGCAAACGGG